ACAGAGGGGGCAAGCGUUGUUCGGAAUUACUGGGCGUAAAGGGCGCGUAGGCGGCCUUCUAAGUCGAACGUGAAAUCCCCGGGCUCAACCUGGGAAUUGCAGUCGAGACUGCUCGGCUAGAGUGUGGGAGAGGGUGGUGGAAUUCCCGGUGUAGCGGUGAAAUGCGUAGAUAUCGGGAGGAACAUCAGUGGCGAAGGCGACCGCCUGGCCCAACACUGACGCUGAGGUGCGAAAGCGUGGGUAGCAAACAGGA
rnacentral:rRNA from 1 species